rnacentral:lncRNA from 1 species
AUGAAGGGCGAAGAUGAUGUGAAUACUGCGAGGAAGGAUGAGGAGGCUGACGGCUCGGGUGAGAAACUCUUGGGUUUCAACAGCACAGAGGAGCAUCCAUCGGGCCCGAGAGGACAAGACAGCAUGUGGCGAAAUGAGAAAUAUGAAACUGUCCCAUUGGAUGUGCGGGGGACUGAUGAAGACGAUUCUAAAGGCACUAGAGAUUCUCUAUACCCCCAGACUGCUGUAAGUUACAACAACAGAAAAACAUUCCUCAGCACUGAUUUUGUCCAGUUCCUCAUCUGUUUUCCUGUUUUUUUAGUACAGCAUAAUUUGCAAGGCAAACUAUGGACAAAUAUCUGGACAUUUGAAUGCUUCAGUUUACACCUUUUGUCAGGAACAGGCGAUAUGUGAUAUUAAAGCUAAGGAGUUUGAAUUACAUAGAUAGUCACAUUUGCAUUGUAAUUCUACUGUUUAUGCAAGACAGAUAUUCUUCUUAGCCCUUAUCAUGGCUGAUAAUUCAUAAAACAACCAAAUAUAUAUUUUCAUGAAAUGCUAAAGCUUGCCAAGCACAUCUCGGCUAGAACACAUUGCCUUCCUUUUCGUACUCCAGAUGGUGCAAUAAACUUUAAGCUCUGCCGAUUUUGCGUACCCUUUGGGUGUGCAAAACUACUUUGCAUCCUGAGGGCGCAUUUGAACGUCUUUGCAAAUCUGCAGGACAGGCUGGUCACUUUGAAAUACCCUCUGCUAAUCCUAAAUGACUUUAUACAAAUUUAUUCAAUCACGUGUUGGGUGCAUGUUCAUAGAUUUGGUACUUUUUGAGUGGUGUGUUACUCAUUCUUAUAAGACUGUAACCACAUAUGCAGGAUUAAGAUGACAAAUAAAGAAAAAAACAAGAAAAAAACGCACUUGUCAAGCAGUAAACCGACAGCUACCUGCACUAUAUCUCAUUAUUUAUAAUUCUUUAAAUCAAAAAUGCAAAUGAAAAUGCUUUCUAUAUUAGUAUCUUGUUCAGAAAUUUACCAUGAGAAAUAUUUAGGCUACAGGGGUUGAAAAGUGUGACAACUAGUCCUGGCUCAAAGACUAACUGCAAUAGAAAAAAAAAAUUAUUUUAUUUUUUUAAAGGGAAGGUCUAAUGCUGUUUUAUGCAUUCUGACUUAUUUAUACUGAUAAAAAGAGUUAGAUUCUCAUGCUAAACAUGACCAAAGUC